rnacentral:tRNA from 1 species
GCCGGAGUGGAGGAACUGGCAGACUCGCGGCACUCAAAAUGCCGUGGUCCUGGACCGUGUGGGUUCGAAUCCCACCUCCGGCA